rnacentral:rRNA from 1 species
GAUGAACGCUAGCGGCAGGCUUAAUACAUGCAAGUCAAGGGGGUAGCAAUACAACCGGCGCACGGGUGAGUAACGCGUACACAACAUGCCAUAUACUGGAGUAUAGCUUUGGGAAACUGAAGGUAAUCCUCCAUAAUAUUUCGGAUAGGCAUCUAUUUGAAAUUAAAGUUUCGACGGUAUAUGAUUGGUGUGCGUUUGAUUAGCUAGUUGGUAGGGUAACGGCCUACCAAGACUACGAUCAAUAGCUGGCGUGAGAGCGCGACCAGCCACACUGGAACUGAGACACGGUCCAGACUCCUACGGGAGGCAGCAGUAGGGAAUAUUGGACAAUGGGCGAAAGCCUGAUCCCAGCCAUGCCGCGUGAUAGAUGAAGGCCCUCUGGGUUGUAAAUAUCUUUUUAUCUGGGAAGAAACACUUCUAUUUCUUAGAAGCUUUGACGGUACCAGAGGAAUAAGCACCGGCUAACUCCGUG